rnacentral:lncRNA from 1 species
CAAAGCUUUCAUUUUGUUGCAGAGUAUACCUUAACCUUUCAUUUUUGCGCCCACAGUCCCAAACCUUUCGCUUCAACGGCAACCGGAGUCCAAAUCAUAGAUUUCGUCUAGAAUGUUGUUAGCCAACACGGAAACUGGAAUUUUGACUCAAAUUGGCAAAUUAAUUUAAGGUUAAAAUGGUGAAUGAACAUUUUCUAUACUAACUUCAUCUUCUCUAGACAUCACAAACAACUUCAUCUUCUCCAAACAUCCACCCAUCCCAUCCCAACCUAAAACAAAAAAUCACCAAACCAAUCACCACCGACCACCUCCUCCAAUACACACGAUGCCACACCGCCCCCAAUACGCACAAUGCUACAUCGCCCACUGCAGCCAUCGUCAAUGCAAUCACCCACAAAGUUAAUUUUGUGUAUGUCUUAACAAUAUGCUUACUAGAGAGCAAUUAAUUUUUGCUCAAUUUUUUCCCCCACAAAACUCAGUUAUUUUGGUAAUUCAGCUCCGCCUAUGCUUUUGGUCUUAAAUUUUUUUCUCAAAGCUGAUGAGUAGCUGCCUGUUGACAAUACCACCUUUAGGAGAGCUAAUGGAGAAGUAGGCAAGGCAAGUUAGCUUCUUUUUCGAUAUGACCGAUUUAACCCCAUGAUUUGGGAUUGAAGGCAGAUCUUCCAACGAACACCCUUUCUUCGGCUUUGAUACAAUUCUUAAUUUCAUUUGGCAUUGGGUUCUUGGUGAGGUACGAUACAUUGCAGUGUGGUAGUGGCGAUGAUGGUCGGGCGGUACUGUAGUGGAGGCGAUGGGUUUGCAGCGGUCGGAGUGAUUGUGUUUGGUUUUUGUUUUUGUUUUUGAUUUUGGGGGUGGGGAGUGAGAUGUUUGGAGAAGAAGAAGUUGUUGGUGUUUUGUUGAUUUUUAUAUAAUUAUUUGAAUUGUUUUACUAUAGAAAAUGUUUAUUUACCAUUUUACCCCUCAUUUGAAUCAAAAUUCCAAUUUCGGUGUUGACUAACGAC